GUGUUCAGCACUUGCCGGUGUGUGUUAACAGACUGGAGCACAGACGCUUCCCAACCAGCCUCAGGCGUGACACGCACUCCGUACGACCGCCACUCCCGACACAAGUACGACCAGUACUCACACGCCACACGACAUGGCUAAAUCGCUUCUCCUGGCAGGAGCACUGCUCCUCUCCCUCCUGGUGCUGGCUGCCGCGCAGACCACGCCCGCACCCGAGCCCGAAACUUCACCGGAACCGGAGCCAUCCGGAUCGGCCGAGCCUGAGACCACCCCGAGCUCUGGUGUCGACGGCCUCCUGCCCGUGCUGUCUGCCUUGGUCAUCCCCGCCUACCUGGCAGCCUACUUUCGCUAGUGCGCCUGCGCCAACCUCGACCUUGAAGCUUUCGCUCUUCAACUUCUGACAUGCGCUAUGACUGACUUCGGCCACGUGAUCGACAACCAAUCAUUGAUGAGGAAGGAAAGGUCACAUGACACCACGUGGACGAAGUCAGGAUGCGACCUUCAGUACCUUGUAGUGGACCAUUCCAUUUUUUAAACGGCACGGGGGUGAUAUAUUUCUUUCAGGGAGAGGGACCACCGAAAAAUCAUUCUAAUAGAUCAAGGUGAUCUUAAGUAAGUCAUUGCUCUGAUUUUUAUCAUCUUGAUAAUCGUACUUUCAGAUAUCAAAAAGGAUGACCCCCUUGCCGUUUUAAAACCGUAGGUCAAAAUAACUCGGUGUUUUUAUCAACUUAAAAUUGAAUGUGGACCACAUUUUUGUAGGAUUGCUCGAAUCAUUCAUUCCUCCUAUAGACAAAGAAUACUAUGUGUGCGGGUCAUUCCAUUCUUAAAGAUUGGGGCACAGGCAAUCCACUUACAUUUCAAUGACACUUGCGCACAUAACUUACGUUUCAUUCGUAAGCAUAUCUGUGAAUCAACAAAAAAGGUAAUGUUUCAUUCUGCCAUCACCAAAUCUAAGAAUGGAGCCGCCCAUAAACUAAACAAUACUCUUUCGCUUUGGGUGGAGAUUGUGUGUGAGUGUGUGUGCGUGUGCGCGCGUGUGUGUGUGCCUCUGUUUUCUAGAUGUUUUUGUGGUGCAGGAUUUUAGAAUGAAGAAAAGAUUUGGGUUACCCUCUGAUAAACGGCAUUCAAUCUACUUAUACCAGGCUAUAACUGUGUGUUGUAUACAUUCUACCAUUGAUGCCAUUCUGGCUCAUAAUAGGUUUGUAAGGUUUCAUUCUAUAAACUCAUCUAACACGAAGCAAGGAUCUUAUUCCACGAUAUUCUUGCCUGGGUUUCUUCGUUUUCAUAGACAUUUUUCAAUAUAUGAAGAAAGAGUCUAGAUAAUAUCAUAUCCAAUAGCCGGAUUCAAGUAUUCAAAUAUUCAAAUAAAGUUUCAACAUUUCCAUCAGGAUUAUGAUUAUUGCAAGCUGUUUGGAAAGAUAUCAACCUGAAAUUGAAUUUUAAGAAUAUAUCAACACUGUGUUGUGUGGACGUAACCAAUGCUAACAAUUAGUUGUCAUUCCUAUUCUACAAAUUCAGUUGGAGACUUUUUUAUUGAGUUGCCUGUCCACCUCGAGAAAAAGGCUUCUUUGGGACAUAUUGUACUACUUAAG